UGCUGGUCGAGAGCAGGCGCGACAAU
rnacentral:piRNA from 1 species